GAAUAACCGAGGGAAACUUCGGCUAAUACCGCAUAAGCCUGAGAAGGGAAAGCAGAAAUGCGUCGAAACCGUGAGCCCGCGGCCGAUUAGCUAGUUGGUGAGGUAAGAGCCCACCAAGGCAGAGAUCGGUAGCCGGCCUGAGAGGGCACACGGCCACACUGGCACUGAAACACGGGCCAGACUCCUACGGGAGGCAGCAGUGGGGAAUCUUGCACAAUGGGGGAAACCCUGAUGCAGCGACGCCGCGUGAGCGAUGAAGCCCUUCGGGGUGUAAAGCUCUUUCGUCAGGGAAGGUUGUUUUUUUACCUGGAGAAGCAGCUGCGGCUAACUACGUGCCAGCAGCCGCGGUAAUACGUAGGCAGCAAGCGUUGUUCGGAGUUACUGGGCGUAAAGGGUGUGUAGGCGGUUCUUUAAGUUUGCUGUGAAAUCUCCCGGCUUAACCGG
rnacentral:rRNA from 1 species